rnacentral:rRNA from 1 species
UACGUAUGUCCCGAGCGUUAUCCGGAUUUAUUGGGCGUAAAGCGAGCGCAGACGGUUGAUUGAGUUUGAUGUGGAAGCCCGGAGCUCAACUCCGGAAUGGCAUUUGAAACUGGUUAACUUGAGUGUAGUAGAGGUAGGUGGAACUCCAUGUGUAGCGGUGAAAUGCGUAGAUAUAUGGAAGAACACCAGUGGCGAAGGCGGCUUACUGGACUGUAACUGACGUUGAGGUUCGAAAGUGUGGGUAGCAAACAGG